GUCCACUUGACAGGCGAGUCAACAUGCUUUCCUCCUGGUCCUUCAGCGUGCUUCUCCUCAGCUCUGUCUUUGGGUCUCCAGUCAAUUAUACCAAUACAAGCAACAGCACAAGUGAGUGUCCUGGCCCUUCCUGUAAUCAGACUGUCAAUGGUUCUUUUCCACCUCCUGAUUCUUCUCCACCUCUUGUUUCCCGUGGUUUUCCGUAAGUUACAAAAACACACACAUUUUAAAUUCUCUUUAUUAUGUAAAAAAAUCUCAGUUGAAUCAUCAUGUGACCAUAGAUGUCGUUAAUGUUCACUAAUUCCAUGUAAACGUUAACCUUGCAGGAGCAGAAAUAAUGUUAGCAAUAAUUGCAGAUUUAAUAAUUUAAUAGUUAGGUUUUACAUAAUCACUAUUUCAAACGUUUAAUGUUAAAAUUCUGUAUUUAGGAAUGUUUAUGUAGAGGACUGAUGCAAGCAUGUCAAUGUCACAUCCGUAAAACAGGCUUAUCGUAAAUCAUUUAUUCCAAACAUUUUCAAAUUUACACUUUACUCUAUGUGUUGAUCCUACUCUCUGUCCUGAUACUAGUCUAAUGCUUUCUGCAGCCGUCGUUAAAAUGAACAGAAUUUAGAGGAAAAACGUAUUCUCUUAUAAAAAUGUGUCCUUUUUAUGUUCAUAAAAUGCUAUAUAUUAUCAGGAUGUCAAAGCUUAUAUAAAUGUUACGUGAUUAUAUUAUUAAUAUGAUCUUAUUGUUGUUGGUGGUGUUGUUAAAAGAUUUUCAGCCUGUUUGUUACCCACAUGUGCCAUCCAUGACAUCGACAAGGGUUUGACACCUGGAGAUGAAAAAGCGGGUGGCGCUGCUUCCGACCCUUUUGGACCUGGCAAGAAAUGAAAGGCAAAGAAGGGGGAUUGUGAAAAACAGAAUCAUACAACAACAUUUCAUGCUUUAACUUAGACUGAAACUGAUAUACAGUACACAUGAGUAUGUUGCUGAUGUACAAUAAGAAAGAAAGAAAGAAAGAAAGAGGUACAUACCAUGUCUGUCCGUGAUAUAUACAGUAUAUUUGCUUAAAAAUUGCAUAUUUUAUCCAUAAAGAAAAAGCAUGGCACACAACCAUCAUGUACAUCCUAUGCUUCACUUGGCUUCAAAAGUUGUCUUUAUGUUGUCAAAUUGGACAUUUCUGCCAUGUCUGCCUUUGAUAUUGAUGCUUUAUUGCUUCAAACUAAUGAAUAAACUUUAUUAAAGUUAACAACAACAA